GAUGAACGCUGGCGGCGUGCCUAAUACAUGCAAGUCGAGCGAACGGACGAGAAGCUUGCUUCUCUGAUGUUAGCGGCGGACGGGUGAGUAACACGUGGAUAACCUACCUAUAAGACUGGGAUAACUUCGGGAAACCGGAGCUAAUACCGGAUAAUAUUUUGAACCGCAUGGUUCAAAAGUGAAAGACGGUCUUGCUGUCACUUAUAGAUGGAUCCGCGCUGCAUUAGCUAGUUGGUAAGGUAACGGCUUACCAAGGCAACGAUGCAUAGCCGACCUGAGAGGCUGCGCGCCACCACAGCGCUGGACCGACGCACCAGAGGCGGCGAGGACGCGUCAGCAUUGAGUCCUGCGCGAUGGUUGUACGCGUGCGGCAGCGAUGGCGUGUUGGGUAUGGAGUUCUUAUCGUAGUAAACUUUUGUUAUGAGGGAAGAACAUGUGUUUAGUACAUGAGGCAAAUCGUGACGUUACUAAAUCAGAAGGCCACGACUAACGGCGGGGCGGCUGCCGGGGUCAUUGAGACAUCACCCUUCUACCC
rnacentral:rRNA from 1 species